rnacentral:lncRNA from 1 species
GAAGGCAUGAUUGAUGCAACCUUCUAGAAUAGUGUAAUGGUACAUGUUUAGACUGUAGGCAACAUCCAAUGUUAAAAUUUAGCAGCCAGUUGUGGUGCUUACAGAGUGUUUUUCGUCGUGCAAUGGGCUUUACAAGUGACGGGGGAAUUUGGAAGUUGAAUACAAUUACGAAGACGUUGGUCCGUGCCACUGCUUCGACUACGGCGAAGUAGGCGCUGGCGAGAACAGCACAGCACGAAUGGUCAGGACGCAGGCCUGGCGGGGAAGGCAUUCGCGUCUCCGCAGCGUCUCAACGACUGCAGUAUACGUACGACUUCCAAUGAUUGAGUAAGUCGUCGAACCCCAUACAGGUGCGAUGACCAUACUGCUAGAGCCGCCACAGCUGCUGCCUCAGGCGUUUCCCUCAUAGGCAUGUUUUCGAAACUGAGACCUUGACGCACAGGGAGAAAUCAUGUGAGAAAUGUUGCGUGCGACGACAUAUGCUGGUAAUUAAAUAAUGAAGCUAUUUAUGCCAACAUCUAAGCAAGCGUUAAUAUAAAAUAGGACGGCAUUUAUUAAUAAUGGGCAAUUAUCGCUAACCGGUUCUGGUUUGUGUUGGCCUUCUCUAGUCGUGGUGUUCGUUUCUGAUCGCACCCAAGCCAACUGCCGUCGCUUCAACCUGUGUGCUCUAUAUUGGUUGACCUUAUCGUAUUGCAUUCUUCUGCUGUUUCUGACAUGCUUAUCUCAUUCCUCCAUUAGCCGAAAAGCUUUUCCAAGAGGUGAGUGCAUGAAUACCUGUCCAGUGGUGAGCUUCACAUCUUGUCACGGUGUCACUGCUGAUUGCCCUUUCUGAUUAAUAUGGCAGGUGUAUACCAAGCUAUAUCGAUUCUACAGAUUUACAGACCAGUACGAGUCUUCUAUAUCGGAGGACCUCUUCAAGAAGCUGAUCAAUCGCUUUAUCAUCAUGGCAAAGACCCUUGAAGGGUUUCUGCGAUCAAAGUACGUCAUCAAGGUAAC